CUCACCUACCUCACAAGGUGUCUGUUCUGGGGAAGGGGAGGAGUUGUAAGCCGCUUUGAGACUCCUUGCAGUAAAGAAAAGUGGAAUAUAAAUCGAACUCUUCUUCUCAUGCCAUUUUGUGCUUUGCAAAUAAGUUUCUAUAGAGGUUUCAUGUUUCCCAAGCUCCUAAUACACUGUAAGCUUGUGUACUUUUUACUCCAGUACAUUUGUUGCUUUUUGUUGCAAAUGUAACUACAGUCUAUGGUGCCCUUCAGCUUCCUGUUAACAACAUACAACAAUGGGGUAAGUGCAGUGUAGAAGAUGGAAGAAUACAUAUAUUGGAAUGUAGGCAAGGUAUUUUUGUAAUGAUCAUGAAUUAAGGUCCCUUGAAGAUAUUUUUGCAUAUCGAAUACAGACCCCAUUAAGGAUUCAGACAUGAUCAUCAGAAUGUGGACACAGAAAAAUUAUAAAAAGACUCCAUGUUUCUUAAGCAUAAUGCUGAAGCACCAAACGUGCGCUUUCACUACCACCUUGGCCAGAAUGAUGCUGAAUAUACAUAAGCAAUAUACAUGUAAGUCAAGUAAGGAAGUUAGGCUUACCGUCCUUCAGUUUAAUAUGUUUCAUUUUGCAAAGCUAUUUAAAAUUAGUACCAUUGCUUUCAACUUUUGAUUUGGUGGAACUAACACAAAACAAGGCUAAACACCUCCAGACAUUCAGUGUAUGUGUGUUUGCAAUGGAGUUCCUCAUGUGCAGCUUGAGACUCUAUAACAGUGGUUCUCAACCUUCCUAAUGCCGCGACCCUUUAAUACAGUUCCUCAUGUUGUGGUGACCCCCAACCCUAACAUUUAUCCAUUUUACAGAUGGAGAACACUGAUGCAGAGAGUCUUAGGCGAUCCCUGUCAAAGGGUCAUUCGACCCCCAAAGCGGUCCCGACCCACAGUUUAAGAACCACUGCUCUAUAAAGUUUCUUACCCAUCUUACUCUUUUUGAUUUUUAUUUAGAUACUGAUUUUCUAAAAAGCAUCAAGAGAAAUUAAUCAUUCCUGGGGUUAUUCCAGAAUAUUAUAAUCAAGAUGUGGCUAAUUCUUCCUAUUUGAAAAGAAAGUCCGUGUGUUAAGCUGGAGACACUUAGUGAGAGUAAAAUGGGUUGGUGUGCCUUUUAUACUGUUUUUAAAACAGCACAGCAAAACAUCACAGAACAUUACAGAACGCAAUGUUUUCAACUCCUUUUAAUAAUCUAACCUUUUCAUAUUUGUUAAAGCAAAAUGGGACUAAUUUGUUGAAGGCUUUCACUGCCGGAAUCACUAAGAAGUUCUGGGUUUUCCGGGUUGUACAGACUGGGGCACAACCUGUUGUAAACCACAGAAGUAUUGUACUCACCUCCCCCUAUCUACAGGGUAGUCAAUAGGCUAAGAGCCAAAGUUAAAGUAUGUUUCUACAGUUACCAAAGAGGAAUCUAUAAAGUACAAGGCACCUCCAUUACACCCAAUUCAUUAUUUACUUGAAAAAAAUGUACUUGAAAUAUGAGAUAGUAGGAGAUGCAGAUAAGAUACAUAAUGAAGUUGAUCUUGAUUUUGCAACUGGCAAGUUCUGUACUGUGAGGAUCAUUUUUUAACCUUCCUUUGCUUGAGAAACAAGCACUUUUCACCUGAAGAAAUUAAAAUAAAAAUAGGAAAUGGCUAUCAGAAAACUGAUGGAGGUUAAAAGUAAUAGAAACAGGCUUUGACUGGUGCAGAGGAAAGCUUUCAAGAAAGAUCUGCAUCUUUGUGCAAAUGGCUGUAACAAGGAGAAAAAAAUUCCAAUCUCUCAGCUGGAUAUCCCCUAUAUGCACCUUGUCCCUCAUCAGAAAAAGACAAAAGCCAGCAACCUGUUUUCCUUUUCACAGAAGUGGUGGCAUAGGAGAUGUGUGAAAGUUGUUGGGUGGGCUUUCACAUGUAGCCGUUCUUCAACAAUGCUGGAUACCAUAGAUACCAGCUUAAAUUUGAGUUGAUUAAAAGAAACUCUUUGUUUAAAUAUAUAUAUAUAUUGUAUUCAUUGGUGGUAACUAUCAAGCAACAGCUGCCCAAUUCAAAUUUUCAUUUUACAGUUAGUGCCCUUUUCAUAAAAGGGUAGUUGCAAAGGAUAGCAUGAAAUAACAUUGAAACGCAUGGUCAAAGGCUUUUACAGCCAGAAUCAACCUGCUGUUGUGGGUUUUCCAGGCUGCGUGGCCACGGUUUGGUAGUUUUAGCUCUGAAAAUGCCAGCCACGGCCACAUAGCCCAGAAAAUCCACAACAGCCGAUAAUGAACUAGCCAUGAAAAUUCAUUUAAUGAGAAUGGAGAGCUCCUAACACACAUCUACAUUUUCCAUGGCUCACAACUAUUUUUUGACCCUGCUAUACAUCCUUUCAGUUUUCCUGGGCAUGUUAUUUUGUACAAAUACAGAAGCACUAACAAUUUUGAAGUUGUCUCUGAUACUAAAUGCUGUUGAAUUUGCUCCGGUCUUCCGGGCGGGGGGAUUCAUUCUUGUUUCUUUCUCCCACUCCCAUCCAAAAGCUGAGGGCAACCACAGAUAGGGCAGAUACCAGCUUGUAUUUAGAUAAAUACCACAAUGCUUAUCAAGGACCCAGUGAACUGCUUGAAACGGCCAAGUCUUUUGAUGUAAAGGCAGAUGAUGCAUCUCAAGGCCACAAGUCUGACACACCUGGACUUGGAACAGAAUCUUUGUGGUUUCAAAGACAUCAUGAUAGUAUUUGAAUUGAAUGAAUUCUCCACCCACCCCCCUUUAUAUUUAGAACAGUUAGCACCCAAUUACAAAAAUAUGCCAAUCCUGAAAUAAGAAUGGUCACUUAAAUGACAAAAAAAAAAUAGCAAUGCGAUACGGUCUUUUAUAUCAGUACACUUAUCUGUUUAUGUACAAUGUAGCUUUGCCCAUGUUUUUUACUCAGCAGUUUCUAAUUCAUUCAGGGCAAUUUUUACUUCUGGUUAUAUAUUUGGGUUUUUUUAAAGCCUGUUUGAAUGUUCAAGUCAUAGAAGUACCACUUCAAUAAUCACAUAACCACUGUAUGUUUGUAACAAGGAUAUAUGUUCUGCAGUAGUUUUUCGCAUUUGUUCUAUCACCUUGUUGGAAUUUUUUUUUACUUUGAGGUUUGGUUUUUGUUUUCAAGUUGUUUACAGCUUUAUAAAUAAAAUAAUCUACCAGGCUGUCCAUUCAAACUGGGCCUCUGGAGACUAUAAUCCUA